rnacentral:lncRNA from 1 species
UGGCUCUUCCUGUGCGCCUGUGCUCCUGAUGUAUCCUCUCAGUGACCGCGUCUGCAGCCCGAGGAGAAGUGAGGCAUUCAAGUCCUCUCUAGCUGGGCUCUGCCUGAGGCGAGGCUGCCCUACACUGACCCACCUCAGCAGCUUGCAGAGGUCCCAGGAGAGUCUAGUUUCUCUGGGGAGCCUUGAGAAGGAGCUGUGAUGAGAGAUGGUCAGUGUCCUGAAUCGUUAAGUGGUAUGCAAUUCUACUUUUUAUGUGAUUUUCUCCAUUUGUUUAUUAAAAUAAACAAGUAAUAUU